GGCAUGAAGCAGGAGGGCAGAGUGAAGAGGCCUCUUGAGCGUCGUCCCAGGGGCCUCGAGCGGAGGCGGCCCUUGGGCCUCACCUGGAGCCCAGCCUGGGGGAGGCAGAGGCCACCCACUGAGGACGCGCUUCCCGCCGCAGGCGCCCGGCAGCCCUGCUGUCCCCAUGGCAGGAACGGGGAGCCUGACGCCGCCUAGUGUCCCAUCGGGGCUGCGGGCAGGGGACCCUGGGCUGGCGGGUGGGGGCUUGCGGCGCUGCCACCCCCGGUGCGCCCUGGCCUUCGCUGACGGUCCCGUGAGUGUUUCCCCAACGGAACCGGACACGCGGACGGACACGUGCAGGCGAAGCUGUCGCAUGGCAGGCGGGUCGCACAGAAGUCGGCAGGGACGGGGCCGUCCCACUGCCCUUCGAAUCCUCUUACUGAAAAGCCCAAAUAGCAGAAGUUUUCCUAAUGAAACAGUUGAAACGUGCUCACAGGUCGAGGUUCCUGCCGCAGUCUGGGGGGAGCAGGACGGUGGACCCACAGGCCGUCGCACUUCAUUCCCCAGGUGCUGCUUCUCGCAAAGACUCAGCUUCCUGCGUCCUUUCCAUGUGCCUCCUGCCGGGCUCCCCCCGCCCCCACUGUCCUGGGGCCUUGCGGCCUGGCCCUAUCUGGUCCUGAGCCAACAUGCUCCCCGCAAGACUCUGCGCCUCACGCCCCACCCCACGGCCCAGCCCGUCUGUAGCCCUGAGGCCCUCGUUUCCCAGCGGGUCGGGGAAGUAAGUGCAGACAAAGGUCAGCUCACAGUGGUGGCGGCGGGCGGUCCCUGAAGCUCCUGUGUCAGGCCCGGGCCCGGGACCUGAGGAUGUCACCGUGCUCAGACGCCAGGUUGUUGUAGACGGAGUGAUGGUCGUGCCCACCGUGCCCCGUGGACAGUCCCCGGUGGGGCCUGGACUCGAUUUGUGACUUUGGGGCAAAUCAGUGAACUCAGCUUAUGUCUCCUUGUUUGGUUUAUGGGACGAAGAGUAGGGUCGAGCCCGGCUGGGCACCUGGCGGCCUCUGCUGGUGGUCGGUCCUGCGCGUCCCCUCCUGGAGGUGCACGAGGACAGGUCCCGACCCCUGCCGGGGACAGCGGCAUCCUCGUCUCCAGCACGGGGGCCCCUUUGGGACCGUUGGGGAUCAGCCCACGAGCUGGCAACAACCCCAGGAGCCACGAGCACCUGCCCCGGCUGCACUCUAAAGGCAGUUGGCGUGUAAAAUCCUGACUUCGGUGCCGGCAGCCUUGGUGCUGGUCCACUCCCGCCGUGAAGCAGCCACACAGGACGUGUAGGCAGUGACGCAGGGCCGCUGGGCCUGGCCCCUCAGGGACCCCGUCCUCACCCCGCGGGGUGCACAGCCCCGGCGCCUCCCCACCAGCUCCGAGCCCCGAUCUCAUGGGACCAGAGUGUCGGCACAGCGGCAAGAGCACGUGGCGUCUCCCCGAGGGGAUCCGGCCUGCCACCAGGUCGCCCUCGAGGUCACCGCCUGCACCAGCGCUGCCGAGGGUAAGAGCAGAUGAAGCUUCAGAGCAUCGCGAUGCUCCUCGCCGCGACCUCCGCGCACACAGGAGCUGCUCGGUUCAGGAUUCUCCGUCGUCUCAGCGGGGCGGUGACCGCGUGCCGGCCCGGUGGCCGUCUGCCAACAAAAUUCUGAGCUGGUUAUAAAAUCAAAAGCGGAAUAAUUUCAUCGUGUCCAAGACGCCACCGGUUGUCCUUUAUUGGGUGAACCCCCGGGACACCUGAUGGUUGCGUCACGCACCCCACUUGUUCGGGGUUACAUGUGAGAGAACGUGCUCCAGGGCCCGUAGGAUGAGCUCAUGUGUCGUGCCACACGUGCCCCACCCACGUGGAAGCGUCUCCUCCACCCCAGGGCUCGGUCCAGUGCGUCCCCCGGGCAAGGCCCACGUUUCUCUGGCCCAGACGCCCCCACGGAGGAGGGUCCCUGGGUCCCUGGGCAUCGGCUUUCUUCGCAGCGGGACCACGGGGGCCCUUUCGAUGCAGGCGCGGCUGAAGCCACUGGGGCUGCGGGAGGUGGCACAGGCCAGGCGAAGGCUGGGAGGUGGACCCAGCCCGGGGCCAUUGCUCGCCCCUUAGGGAAGGAGAAGUGACGCCCCUAUACCUGUUGCAAAUUUUGCCGGGAUCCCGAGGCAGGAGCUGGGCCUUGGCCGCACGCGCCCAGGUGGGUCUCACGUGGGGUCCAGCCUUGCCUGUGGGGCCCGUUGGGGACCUUCGGAGCAUCCCGUGGCCACACUGUGGCCCGGCUGCCCCAGGAGCUGUGUAUCCACUGCCUGGGACCCCAACACGGCCCAGGGUUUGGCAUCGCUGCUCCGGGUGCUCCCCCUGCCUCCUCACGUCCCCACACAGCAGCCAGGACCCUUCACCACGAGCCCCAUCCUGUCGCCCUCCACCUCGACAUCUCUAAACAGGACCUGAGUGCAUUUAGGAUAAAACUCAGGCUUCGGCUCUGAAGGCUGCUCUUGGGAUGUGUCCAGGCCACCGCCAGCCUCCAGCAGGGGGUCCAGGGGCAACCUGGGGGGGGACCCAGGUGCCUGAGCGCCCUGGGCACCUGAGGACGGCCCAGGAGGCAGGAAGGAGGGGUCGGGGCAUCGCAGGGGAAGGGAGCAGACCCUCCGCCUGCAGAAUCUUCAAGCCUGAAGUGACAUGGAGCCAGGCCGGCGUCCCCUCCACGGAAAGGCUUGUCCCUGCUGUACCUUGGUCUCUGCCCACCCCCCGCCCCCCGCCCCAUGUCGGCAAACGCCUUGAGAGCUGGGGUCCUGCAGCUUGUCUGCUGGUUGGACCUUCUCCUCCUGCUCUCAGGGCUGCAGGCGCUCGUCUGCGACGUAGAAAGAAGGAAAGGGGGGCACUGAGGCGCCGGCCGGAGCGGAGCCGGAUGUACCCCCGGGACUGCCGGGGAGAAGCCGCCGUGACCUUGGAUUGGUACUAAGAACAGAGCGGCAUCAUUGGAGGGUUUUAAGCUCCAAGGGACACGAGCAGAUUAGCGCUUUGAGACCUACCCCUGCUGCACGAGGACGAUGGGUUGGAAAGACACUUCCUGAGGGCACAGGAUUUAAUUAAGAGACUUUAACAUUUUUUUAAUUGUAUUUUAGGAACUCAGGCAGGAAGGCAUGCGGGCAAAAAAGAUGAGCUCCAGCAGGCGGGGCCCCAAGA